AUUGAACGCUGGCGGCAUGCUUUACACAUGCAAGUCGAACGGCAGCGCGGGCUUCGGCCUGGCGGCGAGUGGCGAACGGGUGAGUAAUACAUCGGAACGUGCCCAGUAGUGGGGGAUAGCUCGGCGAAAGCCGGAUUAAUACCGCAUACGACCUGAGGGUGAAAGCGGGGGAUCUUCGGACCUCGCGCUAUUGGAGCGGCCGAUGGCAGAUUAGCUAGUUGGUGGGGUAAAGGCCUACCUAGGCGACGAUCUGUAGCUGGUCUGAGAGGACGACCAGCCACACUGGGACUGAGACACGGCCCAGACUCCUACGGGAGGCAGCAGUGGGGAAUUUUGGACAAAGGGCGAAAGCCUGAUCCAGCAAUGCCGCGUGUGUGAUGAAGGCCUUCGGGUUGUAAAGCACUUUUGGCGGGAACGAAAAGGACUGUGCCAAUACCACGGUUCGAUGACGGUACCCGCAGAAUAAGCACCGGCUAACUACGUG
rnacentral:rRNA from 1 species